CCACAUGUGUCAUUGUGUGAGGUUGUUGGAGAAAACAUGUCGCAGCUGGGUACAUUCAUGAUGACCAGUUCAACAUGGGGCAAGGCUCGGCGUCUGCUGCUGGAGGCAUCCUCUGCUUUCAUAGCAUAAUCUUCAUGCAAUCACCAGUGAAGAGGGACUCGCAGCAUCAUAUGUAAGAUGCCUAUAGCUGACCAGAAAGCUGUUCCUUGGAAAGUAAGCUCAUUGAGGGCUGGCACCAUUGUCUUUCUAUUUGCAGCCCUGGUCUACCACAGAAGGCAUGUGAAUUACCACAAAUACGUCCCCUGGGUUCAUCCCAAUUGAGCUACCUGACGCUCGGCACUGACAGUUUCGUCUCUUAGAAAGAAAAGGAUGUAAGAAUGGGGCUGCUACUCUGGACUUAAUUCUGACCAACAAGGAAGAACAAAUUGGUAAAGUAGAAGUGACAGGAAACUUGGGAGAAAGGGACUGUGUCAUGUUGGAGGUUAUUAUUUUGAAUGAAAGA